CUCCCCACUCCUCCUUUCACGAGUAGCAUCCAGCUGCAGCCCCGGAGCCAGAACCUGUGGUGUGUCAAGGGGCCCUGUGGUUUUUAUUUCGGCUUUUUUCAACGCUUUGCGUCACAGUCGGCCCCUUGCCACACCACAGGUCCAAGCUGGAUACCAUUGCCUUUCUCCGCCUUUCCUCACCAGGUACACCUGAUGAUCAUCUUAAUCCCCACUUCCUGUUUAUCGACUCCGGCUUCUCAAUCAGUCAUCGCCAGUUAGUCAAACAGUCUACGGUCAUGGUUCGCCUUUAUGACUUGACGUGUCGUGGUGGACGUGUGUGAUUAGACUGGAUUCUGUCGGGUGCCGUGCGAGACGUGCAUUCUGAUAGACUGCGGAACAGAGCAGACGGUUCUGCAGGAGACCCACCCGGUUGGAGAACAAUUCUAACCACUGCAAGCAGUCAAGUGGAUUGGUAAACGGAUUGACAAUCGCAAUGUCGUCUGUGCUCGGCGUCGUGGCCAAGCAGCUUAAAAGCCAUCCCGCUCUCAUUCCUCUGUUCAUCUUCAUCGGUGGAGGGGCGACCAUGAGCGCGAUGUACCUGGCCCGCCUAGCUCUGAAAAACCCCGAAACGGCAAGA